rnacentral:rRNA from 1 species
CUAGUGGCGGACGGGUGAGUAACGCGUGGGAACAUGCCCUUCACUACGGAAUAGUCCCGGGAAACUGGGUUUAAUACCGUAUACGCCCUUCGGGGGAAAGAAUUUCGGUGAAGGAUUGGCCCGCGUUAGAUUAGGUAGUUGGUGGGGUAAUGGCCUACCAAGCCUACGAUCUAUAGCUGGUUUUAGAGGAUGAUCAGCCACACUGGGACUGAGACACGGCCCAGACUCCUACGGGAGGCAGCAGUGGGGAAUCUUAGACAAUGGGCGAAAGCCUGAUCUAGCCAUGCCGCGUGAGUGACGAAGGCCCUAGGGUCGUAAAGCUCUUUCGCCAGGGAUGAUAAUGACAGUACCUGGUAAAGAAACCCCGGCUAACUCCGUGCCAGCAGCCGCGGUAAUACGGAGGGGGUUAGCGUUGUUCGGAAUUACUGGGCGUAAAGCGCGCGUAGGCGGAUUGGAAAGUUGGGGGUGAAAUCCCAGGGCUCAACCCUGGAACUGCCUCCAAAACUACUAGUCUAGAGUUCGAGAGAGGUGAGUGGAACUCCGAGUGUAGAGGUGAAAUUCGUAGAUAUUCGGAAGAACACCAGUGGCGAAGGCGGCUCACUGGCUCGAUACUGACGCUGAGGUGCGAAAGUGUGGGGAGCAAACAGGAUUAGAUACCCUGGUAGUCCACACCGUAAACGAUGAAUGCCAGUCGUCGGAUAGCAUGCUAUUCGGUGACACACCUAACGGAUUAAGCAUUCCGCCUGGGGAGUACGGCCGCAAGGUUAAAACUCAAAGAAAUUGACGGGGGCCCGCACAAGCGGUGGAGCAUG